rnacentral:rRNA from 1 species
GAUGAACGCUAGCGGCAGGCCUAAUACAUGCAAGUCGAACGGUGUAGCAAUACACAGUGGCGCACGGGUGCGUAACACGUAUGCAACCUACCUUACAUUGGGGGAUAGCCUUUCGAAAGGGAGAUUAAUACCGCAUAAGACAGUAACUAGGCAUCUAGUAGCUGUUAAAGAUUUAUCGAUGUAAGCUGGGCAUGCGGUCAAUUAGUUAGUUGGCGAGGUAAUGGCUCACCAAGACGAUGGUUGGUAGGGGAACUGAGAGGGCAACCCCCCACACUGUAACUGGGCUACGGGCCAGACUCCUACGGGAGGCAGCAGUAGGGAAUAUUGGGAAAUGGGCGCAAGCCUGACCCAGCCAUGCCGCGUGCAGGAAGAAGGCGUUAUGCGUUGUAACCUGCUUUUAUACAGGAAGAAACGACCCUUGCGAGGGGCAUUGACGGUACUGUAUGAAUAAGCACCGGCUAACUCCGUGCCAGCCGCCGCGGUAAGAC